rnacentral:siRNA from 1 species
UUUGCUCUUCAAGGUGAUAUC